rnacentral:rRNA from 1 species
CCUACGGUGAGCAGCAGUAGGGAAUAUUGCUCAAUGGGCGAAACCCUGAAGCAGCAACGCCGCGUGGAGGAUGACGGUUUUAUGAUUGUAAACUCCUUUUGAUAGGGAAGAUAAUUACGGUAUCUCACGGAUAUUCUCCGGCUAACUCCGUUCCAGCAGCCGCGGUAAUACGGAGGGUGCAAGCGUGACCCGGAAGCACUGGGCGUAAAGAGGGCGCAGGUGGGUUUGUAAGUCAGAUGUGAAAUCCUGUAGCGUAACUACAGAACUGCAGUUGAAACUAGGAGUCUAGAGUGUGGGAGAGGUAGGUGGAAUUCGUGGUGUAGGGGUAAAAUCCGUAGAUAUCAAGAGGAAUACUCAUUGCGAAGGCGACCUACUGGAACAUAACUGACGCUCAUGCACGAAAGCGUGGGGAGCAAACAGGAUUAGAUACCCUUGUAGUC